UGGGAUGCGAUAGCUGGUGCUGAAACCCGGGACGAAAACCUGGCGUCCGAGGACGGAGUGGAACUUCUCACCCUGCGGCAAUCCGAGUGGACACCCUUUGGAAGAGUUACACGAGUGACUGACAUUUUGGAGAGUGGACCAGCAGAACCCCGUUUGGGUGCCUGAACGUCUGAUACGCAGAGUGGAAAACCCCGGAGCGGAGGUACAAGAUGAUCGCACUGCUUCUGCUCCUGCCGUGGAUCCUACAGCAGGCGACGGUGGAGCCGAGCUGCAGCUGCAGCCACUGCCGCGCUGACUAUCACCAUUCCUACGGCAGAGACGCUGAAUGGUCUGUCCCAGGCCACUGCCUCGGCAAUGACAGCGCAGAACGUCAUCAAUGGCCAUUUUAAGAAUGGGAUGGCCUUGGUCAACCAACGCAUGAACCUUCUUCAAGAACAAUUGGACCUCUUGGGGGAGGUUUUGUCUGUGGGCUGCGUCCAUUCUUAUACGGGGGUGUAUUACUGGUAUUCCUUUUCAUAAUUAUUCUAAAGCUGCCAACUUGUCCAGACAGUUAGGCAAGAUGUUAACCACAAAUUGGUCCAGUGAGCUUGACGAGCUCACCACUCAGCUACGGUUAGAAAUUUUGAAUGUUAGCUCCAAGAAGGUAGAGAUGCUCUCCGUAGCUCAAA